CCGGCUUCCAUUGGGGAGUAGCCGCCUGGAGCCAAUGCUCCGGGGGCCACGUCAACAGACUUGACCGUCGUCGCAAUGGCAGACGGUUAUGGCGUGGUCAGCAACAUCCCGGGUGCCCCGCACCCGGUGACGCGCCUGGCGAGACCGAUGACACGCCU
rnacentral:misc_RNA from 1 species